UGCAAUAUUUUUGCUAAAAUUUUAAUAAAUUAAUUACAAUUGGUGUUAACAGAUUAUAGCUAUGUGCUAGCAGAUUGCUCCCACUAACCAAUUAUUGACGUUAUUGUUUCAGCCUUGUCAUGACACACAUACUCCUCUCUUCACGAGAAAAUUGGUAUGUCCAAUACCGGCAGAGACGGGGCGCUACAAGAAGAUGCUGGGAUAGUACGCAAGCAGAUUUUCGUGUGCACUAACUGCGGCAAUGGCUACACAUUGAGGAUAAAGCUCUUGAGACAUCGGAAGUUCGAAUGUGUGAGAGUUAAGGCUGAGGUUUAGCUGUGAGAUUCGCCCGUACAAGUGGUGCGUCGAUAGCGUUGUGGUACAAAAACGUGCACGGGUACGACAUCGGCGAUGCGCAACAUCAGCAGCGUGCCGUCUACAGAACGCGCGAGAGGACUUAUAUAUGCGCGGAUUGCGGCAAGGGUUACAAGGUGCAAAGGUCUCUCUGGAGGCACCGGAAGUUCGAGUGCGUGCGAGUGAAUGCGAAGCCGAGGUACAGCUGUGACAUGUGCUCGUACAAAAGCCCCCACAAAUGGCGCAUUGACAUACACAAGAGGAAGAAGGAUCACGGCAUCCUUUACAAUCGCUUCCUUAGUUAGACCAAGUAACACUAUCGAGCCGGCUUUCAAUGUUCUUCUUGUGAUGAAAUAAUUAUUUUUUUUUAGUAAGAUUGUACUUUACUGUCUAAACAAGCGGAGGUAUGAAAAUAAAUUUUACGUCGCGCAAGUAUCCUUCGUGCGACUUUUAAAUUUAUCUCCUCGCGCGUUAAAGGCUAAACGGAAGUUUUUGAGAGGCCAUAUAUGGGAUUAUAUAAAUAAGCGCAAAAUAAAAAAUUUUUUACGUUCUGUCUGUGGCAUGACAUUGUCCCUAUUUCUUUAAUUACUGAAUGCCGCUAUAAUUUUCCUACUUUUGAAACAAUAAAGGGGAAUUAUAGAAUGAUAAAAAAACUGAUAUCUAAUCGAUGAAAAAACUUGUAACUUGCGUGCAAAUACAUUUUUCAGAUAUAACAAUUAGCAGUCAAUAUAUUAUUAUUACAUUAUUCUCAAGUUGGUAGUCUCUAGUACUGUCGCAUUCUAUUGCGAUAAAGAAAAAGUAAGCGUUUUUGUCAUGAAGAACUGCGAAAUAUUUAUGAAAUUAUAGGUUUUUGGAGAAAAUGUUUUAUAUAUAUGUUAGAAUAUUUAUAAGUAUGUUAUGGAUAUUGAUUGUAAUUUUCUGAAAAGUAUAUUAUUAUUAUUUCCUGAAAAAAUGUACAAACAAACAAUAUUUAUUCUUUAAAAUUUGUCGUAUUAUUUCAUCGAAACUUUAUCACAUUUAUAUUCUUAUAUGAUUUAUAAAUUAUAAAUGUAUUAUAUAACUAUGUAUACGUAUGACUAUAUUAUAUAUAAUGUAAUACUAAACGUAAAAUAAACUGAAUGUACUCUUUUUCUAGCAGGUACGACAUGCAAUGUCCAUUAUUUUGCUGUUUUUCGUUUUUAUGGUUUUUAGUGAUACUUCGAACAUCUACGUUAAGAUAUAUGUGUAUUCGUAAUAUAUAUAUAUAUGUAUUACGAAAUAUGUACCAAUAAUUAACAAUUUUAUGGAAAACUUUUAAUCCCUCAGGUACAUAUUUCCACAACGGUGAACAAAGGUGUCAUAAUAUAAAAUCUAGACAAUGAUAAAUAAUUGUUGAGAAGUUGCAAAAAGAAACUGAAGAAAAACAAAGUGGGAUAUAGACUUUGACAUUAUGAUAGUCAACUAUUUGUUGUUUUCAUUUUUCAGUUAUUUCUUGGGAAGAGUCUGCGUAUUCGCAAAUUAUAUUAAACAAAUUUUUUUGAAAAAAAAAAAAUCUAUUCGUACUCGUUAUUGUGAACGACGAAUUAAUCUUGUUUUAGAUUUUUAUUCAUAGUAAAAUACAUAAUGUUCGUGUAGAUUUAAGACAAAAUUAAUUGUAGACAAUAUAUUAUUAAACUUGAAUCUAUAUACACAAUACAUCUAUACACGCGUUUAUUGUGUAUUUUUAAGUUUUUUACUAUAACUCAUUAAAUAAAUAUAAUUUGACAAGUGCAUUUUAAUAAUCAUAUAUGUAUACAGAAUAACAAAUUACGUCUUGCUCUGUAGCAAAAUAUCUUUUUUCUUCAUUAUACAGGUUUAUUUAUAGCAUAAUGCAAGACUGAUUUGCGUAUAAAGUACUGAACAGAAUAUACCUUUAGAUAUAAGAAGCACAAUUUCUAUUUGCCCAUCAAAUCAACGAAAAAUGAUCUUUCAGACUUUUCAGGAAAGCCUGAAAAAAGUCUUUAUAUCCUUUGAGAUUUAUUUUGUUUACUGGAAUAUAACUAUAGAUCUUUUUAAUGAAGAAAAAGAAUAUGAGAAAUUACAAUGUAAUACAAGCUAGGAAACAUUACUUAAGUUAAUGGAUAAGCAACGUUCUUUUUUCCAGUUUAAUUUUUAGAUUUUAAUAUACUUAGACGCUAAGUUUUGUGGCAAUUCGUAAUCUUAGAAUAUCAAAAAGCGAAUUAAUGUUUGUAUAUAUUAUUUCAGCAAUGAGAGUGCUUUAAUAGAAACAUGUUUGGCCGGCUUGGUAAAUUGAUUUCUAAUCCUUCUGAUUCCGAAUCAGACUCCUUCUAAAACUUAUAGAGUAGUUGUCCUUGUGUGAAUUAUUUGUAAAGUUUUCCGAGCUUUUGUUGAUUUUUAGGAUGGCUUUUAAGUAAAUUCUAAGGGACGCAUCAAGCUUUCGGAAAGAGUAAAUUUCCGAUCUUCUUGUGGCAAGAAAUAUUUAUCUGAGACAAUCAAAAUCCUUAGUUUGAUUUAUGAGAUUUUGUAAUUGAUUGUAAAUUUGAUUAAUUUCACGUUUUAUUUAAACUCAAUUCAAACGUUUCAUGCUUUUUGCAAAUUCGAACAGGCAAAUUAUUCCUCGAUACAGACACAUCGUUUCUACUUUUGCCCAUAUGAACGUUUCGAAUUGUUUUUCCUUUAUUGUAUCUUCUAUCCGAAGAUUAGCCAGAUUUGCCAGUAUUUACAAACGUGAAAUGAUUGCAUCUCAUAAGUCGGACUGAUCGUUGCCCUAGACACACCCGCGAGUGCUUUCAUCGUUUCUAUCCUGAUACCGCUGUUUUUGUUGAAUCUUUUUUUUCGCGAGGCUUGAACAGCGUAGUCGGUCUGCCGCUCAACUAACUAACUUGGUCCCUCUGUUUCCAGCUUACCGGAAGAUGUACAUGGGCGAUCAGGUGCUCGGCUACACCUGCACUAUGUGCAGCAAGUUCUAUAAGAUGUGGAGCAACUAUCUGAAACACAAGUGCGAGCCACCGCAGUUCAAGUGUCCCCUGUGCCCGUUCGCCGCCUUCAAAGCUUUCAUCCUGCACGCACAUCAGGCGGAGCAACACUUUAAAGUCACGUCGCCGAACACUUAGACGACCUACGGCGAUCCAGAUCGGGGAGGAAUUGUCAAAUUGCCUUAGUCGUCGUUACGAUUUUUUCGUGGCACGUGUGCCAUAUACUGCCGUGACUGUCGAACAACAAUAUUCUCGAGAAUUUCUGCGGCUCCGAAAUGCAAGGAUCUAUGAGCGACUCGUUUCGAGACGUCGACGACCGUUUUCUACAUUAGUCCCGAUUAGAAAUCCCGCGAAAGCGUUUCUCUCUCCGAAGAAUAUAUAUUUUUCCUAAACUCGCCACGAAGGCGAUGAGGUAGUUCCCGAGUCGUUAUCAUAGGAUAGUUUGACAUAUUGUAUUAGCUAAUAAACAGCGAUCGGUGCAUUUUAUCAAAGGAAUCAGAUCUCAUAAAUGGACGGUGCAAACAAAUUCUCCCUUCGUUAUGUAAUUAUACAAUGUAUAGUAAUACGACCAAGAUGUGCAGAAAUAUGAUGCGACAAUUCGAAUUCCAGUGUAACAAGUAGCGUAGUUCAAAUACUGAUAGACCGUAAAGGAAACAAGACUGAAUGACAAUAAAGAUAAUGCGUUAUCUCUC